GGAACUCCAUGAUUUUGUGUUUUUAAUGGUCUAUCCAAAUUUGUGAGGUCUUUCUGAUUAUGUAGGUAAUUAUGCAAAUGUCAUAGGGAAAGGCUGGGGGAUUUCACGAGAACAUAAUUUUAUUCAAUGAGUAGUGAUUUUAGAAUGCUGAAGUAUUAUUUUAAAAUGCUUUCAAGCUUUUGGAGGUCGAUGACAUCGUGCAGACUGCUGCGAUGUGAUCACAGCUUUCCUUGCUCACCUCUGAGAAAGCUUGGAGGAGUAUCCGAACCCCUCUAAAGCUCCAUUUUUUUCAACUCUAAAAUGCAGAUCAUACCACCUACCCCAUUCGGAUGUUUGGGGGCCCACAACUGGUCCAGUCAAAGACUAGUACUUGUUGUCAUUGCAGUUUAGGAACUGAGUGACAGUUCAGGUUACCUCUGGAAAUGGUGGAUGUGUUAGCACAUAUUUUCUCAGUGUUUAUUGUGUGACAGCCACUGUGAAAAGCUCUUCAACUGUAAUCUCAUUUUAUUCUCCAAGUGUUCCUAGGAGGCAGACGCCAUUAUUACCUUCCAGUUACAGGUAGGGAAGUUGAGUCAUAGGGAGGCUGCCAUUGCUGUUAAAUGUGGAGCCAGGAUUUGAAGCCAGAUAGUUGGCUCUAGAGCCUGUGUCCUUGAUCAUUCACUCUAAACCUCCUGGACACCUGGGCAUGCUCAGGGUCUUUGGAUGGAGGAGAACCUCUUUGCCCAGGGUUGAUUUUUCAGACUGACCGACCAGUUUUUAUUGGUCGUCAAAGGUCCCUAUCAACUGUGUAGGAUUCUGUGACCCCUGGGUUCGUCACACACAGGGUGAACACCUUGGGAGUGUGGCCUGGGGACCCAUCAAGCUGACCUCACUGAACCACAGUGCAGAUCCAGGUAGAACUUGGAAGUUCAUGUAUUUUGGGGCACAUUAGAAGUUCAGUUUGGGGAAGAAUUAAGGGCUCUCUUUCAACCUGAAUAUAGUUUUACUAUAACAAUCUUGACUUUGCCCUUCCUUUCCCCACACCCCAAUCCUGGGGAAAGCUCCUUGUCCAUGAUUCCUUAGCAACCCUCCCCACCACAAGCGGGCCAGUAGUUGUUUUGCAGGUGGGCUCACUUCCUCGCCUCUUAAUUUGCUCACUACCGACACCCUUUGACCUCACCACUUGGGGUUUACAGAGGGCCAUAGAUCAUGGCCAAAUGGUCUGGUGCUUUAAAAAAAAAAAGCCACUGUAUUCAACAUAGGAAGAAAAGGUGGCAUGAUGGGUUUAUUUGCCUCUGGGAGGAGUAGGUGGCUAAGGUGGGCAGGCCUCAGAGACAGGAUGAGUGGUUUUACUAACUCCCAGUGGAAUCCUAUUCAUUUACUGUCCUUGGAUUGGAAUCUACCCAGGGAUGCAGUAUCUUUGUCUAGUUGAACUUAAAAGAUUUACCACCACGUGAAGUGACUUUACAUUAAAACGGGCUGAUAGACCAUAAUCUUCAGUUUCUGGCUGGGAUCAGAUGUUGAGCAACCUGACCUUCUAAUUGAAGGGAAGAAAUCCCCAGGAGUCAGGGAGGAUGACAAUGAGGAGGAAAAGGAUGUCUGCUGUGUGUCACCAGCUUGAUUGAGUUAACCUCGGCUUUCCAGGCUCGGUUUGUGGCACCUAAGAUGAGGCCCUGUGGAACUCUGUAUUGUCUUUGUUUUAAAGUCAAAGCAGGUGAUUUUGUUAAACCUACUGCUGGAGUGUGAAUUCUUCAAAAGACCUAAUUACUUAUUCUGUAUCCUUUGUAUCUGGUAGAUGUUAAAUGAAUGUUGGUUAGGUCAGUUAAUGAAUUAAGUUUGUUAAAUUAAUAAAAGAAUACUAGUUGAGCUGCUCUCUUAUUUCCAUUUUCUUAUUAUUAGGUUUUCAAAACCUGUACCCCUAACCACCAAUAAGCAGGGACAAUUGAUUUUCCAGUUAUAUUUAAAAUAAUGAGAGAAUUAAGCUGCUGCAUUUUGACAAAAAGUAUAAAGAUGUGAAUUACCUAUAAGAGCAAAGAUAGCAAAAUCAACCCCAAUAGCCUUAAUCUCAGCUAUCAUUGUCAUAGACCACUGGGAAUCGUCCCUGUCCAGCAGCUUCUGUCCCAGUCUGGGUGCCAAGUGGUUACUGUGAAUUAUUUGAGUGAUUAUGAUAUUUGAAGUAUAGAGAAGCACUAAUUUAAACUAUGCUGUCUUCCUAAAAUUCCCAACAUGCUAUUUCUUGUUUUCAACAGUUUUCUGUGACCCUUGAUGAAGUGCUUGCUUGGUACCUGGUGGAGGUUUCUUCCCUGACUUUAGUAGUCUGUAGUUUGCAGUUUAAUUUUGUUGGAUGACUCAGGGCAAUAAUUGCAUUCUCAAGAAAGACUAUUAUUUAUAAAUAAGUAAUUUAUCUUUUUAAAGCUACAAAUCACCAAGUUGUGAGCUACCUAGUCAGCCACUGUAACAUGUUGCCUUGGAGCCAGUAAGGAUUUAAAUUUCCUGUGAACAAGUCCUCUUGUGCUGGGGAGAGGGUAGAAACAGCCUGGCAGCCUGGGCGGGCCCUGCACUGCCUGCCUUUGGGAUUCAGAGAUAUUGCCUUGCAGGUGGUGUGGCACUUGCUCACUUCUUUUGAGUAAAUGUCUGUAGGAAAUGGAUGCCAUCACUCUAGAGGAGUGUGGCCAACCUCAGUUUGCUGAUGUGGGAGUUACUGAAAUGUAACAGUGUUAGCCCCAAUACAGUGUAAGUUCCUUGGGGCAGGACCCUCAUCUAUGUAUGUUCCAGUCCUAUGAACUCAAUUGAAAUUGGUCUCUUUUUUUUGUCUUUUUAGGGUUGUACCCAUGGCAUAUGGAGGUUCCAGGCUAGGGGUCCAAUCAGAGCUGUAGCCACCAGCCUACACCACAGCCAUAGCAACUCGGGAUCAGAGCCUCAUCUUUGACCUACACCACAGCCCACGGCAAUGCCAGAUCCUUAACCCACUGAGCGAGGCUAGGGAUCGAACCUGUGUCCUCAUGGAUGCUAAUCAAGUUCGUUUCUGCUGAGCCAUGAUGGGAACUCCCGAUUGAACUGAUUUCUUGUUAGAAUUUCCAUUUCUGAAGCUCCCAUUAUUGAAAAAAUUACCACAGAAGUACAAUAGGAGAGGGGUUUUUCAAAGGCACAGUGUGUAGAUAAGUUGUGCGUUAAAAAUGACUUACCAAAUAUAUAGGUUCAGAAUGUUCUCAGUGUCUUCAGUAGUUUUUUCUCUUCCCCAAUUAUUUAUUUUUUAAUUGAAAUAAAAAACAUCAUAAUAUUAACUAUUUUAAAGUGUACAAUUCAUUGUUUUUUAGUGUAUUCAGUUUUGUGCAACCAUGAUCAUUAUGUAAUUCUUGAGCAUUUUUAUCACCCCUCAAAGAAACUGCAUCCCCAUUAAGAGCUCUUUGCUCAUCCUUCAUCCUGCCUUUGGCAGCCCCCAAUCUACCUUCUGUCUCUGUGCUUUUGCCUAUACUGGACAUUUCAUGCACAUAGAAUCAUAUGCUAUUGAGUCCUUUUGUGUCUGGCUUCUUACACGUAACAUAAUGCUUCCAAGUUUCAUCCAUGUUCACCUGUGUUUGUAGCACGUAUCAGUCCUUCAUUCCUCUUUAUGACUGUAAAUACUAUUGCAUUGUGUGGGUAUCCCCCACCUUGUCUCUCCAUUCAUCAGCAGAUGGGCAUUUGUGUUGUCUCUACUUUUAAGCUAUUAUGAAUAAUGCUGCCAUGAACACUCAUGUAUAAUUUUUAUAUAACUAUAUUUUCAGUUCUCUUGGAUAUAUACCUAAAAGUGGAGUGAGGGGUCAUAUGUUAAUUCUCUGUUUAACUUUUUGAGGAACACUCAGACUCUUCCACAGUAGCUGCACCAUUUUGCAUUCCCACCAGCAAUGUACAAGUGUUCCAGUUUCUCUACAUCUUAACCACAUUUCCUUUUUUCUUUUUUUUUCUUAAGCAUUUCUAGUGGGUGUGAGGUAGUAUCUUACUGUGAUUUUGAUUUGCAUUUCCUUCUUCAGUAUUUUGAUAGCUUUAAUAUGAUGUAGAAAUUCUUCCUUCAUUCUAGCCUUUUAGCUUUUGCCACUCUAACCACCCCACCUUUUUUUUUUUUUUUGCCUUUUAGGGCCGCACCCAUAGCAUAUGGAGGUUCCCAGGUUCCCAUGCUAAGGGUCCAAUCAGAGCUGUAGCCACUGGCCUAUACCGCAGCCACAGCAACGCCAGAUCCAAGCUGUGUCUACAACCUACACCAUAGCUCAUGGCAAUGCUGGAUCCUUAACCCACUGAUCGAGACCAGGGAGUGAACCCACAACCUCUUGGUUACUAGAUGGACUUGUUUCUGCUUCGCCACAAUGGGAACUCCUCUCUCCACCUUUUUAUGUCUCCUAAGAGGCAGGGGAAGAAGAGCUAGGAGAAAUUAAAAGUAGAAUGUAUGGGGUUCCCAUCAUGGCACAGCGGAAACAAAUCCGACAAAGAACCAUGAGAUUGCCAGUUUGAUUCUUGACUUUGCUAAGUGGGUUAAGGAUUGGCAUUGCCAUGACCUGUGGUGCAGGUCUAAGACGUGGCUUGAUCUGGCGUUGCUGUGGUUGUGGCGUAGGCUAGCAGCUGUAGCUCCAAUUGGACCCCUAGCCUGGGAGACUCUAUAUGCCUCGGGUGCAGCCCUAAAAAGCAAAAAAAAAAGUAGAAUAUUCUAACAGAGUGCAUAUUUAUUUUUGUCUUCAUCUCAAAUAUGAUAUAUCUUUAAGAGGCAUAGAUGUGCAUAAAGUAGGCAAUGAAUGUAAUGUGUGUGUAUAGACAGCUUAUUCAAAAUGAUUUGAUGUUUAAAAGCUUUAAACUAGUAAUAUGGUAAGAAUUAAAAUCUCUUUUUUUUUUUUUCCUUUUUAUGGCCACUCUUGCUGCAUAUGGAGGUUCCCAGGUUAGGGGUCAAAUUGGAACUGUAGCCUCCUACCUGCACCACAGUCACAGCAAUGCCAGAUCUGAGCCACGUGUUCAACCUACACCACAGCACAUGGCAACGCCAGAUCCUUAACCCACUGAGCGAGGCUAGGGAUCGAACCUGCAUCCUCAUGGAUCCUAGUCAGAUUUGUUUUCGCUGAGCCACAAUGGGAACUCCAGUUAAUUGUUUUUUGGAAAAAAAAAGUUGAAGGAAACCUGAUAAACACAGACUCAGCCAGGUGAUCAUGACUUAACAGUGAUAAGUCACAUUGAUGUAUCCUUGAUACGAUGUGAUGGCAAUGGCAAUUUUUCUUUGUGGUCUUUCUCCCCCCCCAAAACAUCAUAACCCCAGUCUAAUCAUGAGAAAAAGACUCACCAAAUCUCCAUAGAGGGCAUUUCACAAAAUAUCUGACCAGUACUCCUUAAAACUGAUUUCAAAACCAAGGAAUAUCUGAGAAACUGUCACAGCCAGGAGGAGCCUAAGGAGACAGGAUGAGUGAACACCAUAUGCUGUCCUCAUGGAAUCCUGAGACAGAAAAAGAACAUUCGGUAAAAGCUAAUGAAAUCUGAAAAAGUUAUGCAUCUUAGUUAAUAACAAUGUAUCAAGAUUGGUUCACUGAUGUAUUGUGGAAAAGUGUAGGAUAUAUGGAACCUGCACUAACUGCUUUCUGUAAAUCUAAAACUGUUCUAAAAGAAAUAGUUUACUUUAAAAAAAUUACAGAAAAACACAAAAAACAGUUGAAAGUGUUUUUCUUUAGUCAAAGUGUGACCAUACUAUGUAAUUAUGGGUUUUUUGGUAUACUUGAAAAGCAGUGGGCAAACUAUGGCUCAAAAGCCAAAUCAGCCUGCAGCCUUCUUUCUUUGUAUCCGUCCAGCCAGUCUUACAUCAUUAAAGGGUUGUAAAAAGGACAAACAAAAACAGAAGAAUUUGUGUCCGAGAUUGUACAUGGCCCACAAAGCCUAAAAUACUCUCUGGCCCUUUUCAGAAAAAGUUGCCAAUUCGUGAUACAAAGUGAAAUGAUGAAGUGUUUACAAUAUCUUAUAUAUAAGAUAAGUAUUAAGAGAAGUAUUAAUCUUAACUGAUAAAAAUGGCAUGAUUAUUACCGUUCAUUGAUGAUCGACUUCAUAAACAACUUUAGGUCCUGAUGUAUAAAAACGAAUCAUGCUUGGGUGCUGAAUUGGAGGAGUUUCCUUACUUCUCUUAUUACUUAUCUUUUAAGGACAUGCAGCAUGCUACUUAAAGUUUUCCAAACCCAUUCUUCUCUGACACAGCUGGAAUUGUACAUGGGGACGUGAGAGAAACAGGCCAAAACAAAAAACUUUUAGAAGUACCAUAGUUUUUUUCUUGUUCUUUUUAGGGCCGCACCUGUGACAUAUGGAAGUUCCUGGGCUAAGGGUUGGAUUGGAGCCUCAUUUGCAACAUACUCUUCAGCUCAUGGCAACACCAGAUCUUAACCCACUGAGCCAGACCAGGGUUCAAACCUGCAUCCUUACAGACACCAGCGGACACCAUGUUGGCUUCUUAACCCUCUGAGCCACAGUGGAACUCCCAUAGUUAUUUGUUCACAGUUUACUCUUGGAAGUAUAAAUAUUAUAGUCAUCUGGUUUGGCUGGAAACAUGACUUUCCUGGGAUGUAUUAAUGGUAUUUAUAAAAUCACAAAGUUGGCCAUGAUGAUCAAAUAGAAAAUAAUUCCAUGUAUUAUUUUUACUUUACCAAGCUGGUACCUAUUAUAGUUGUGAGUGUUCUAAAGAUGCUAUGAAGGGCUAAAAUUGUUUUGCUCUGUACAUAAUUGCUCCUGUGCUGUUAACCCUGAUGUCAGUAAAGACUACCUGGUUCUGAGAAGAGAGCAGAGAGUAGCAUUGAAGUUAGAGCCCACUGGGAAGUGGUUUAGGACGGAGUAACUGAGGUAAGCUUUGGAAGCUGUUCUUUUACUCCUAAAACACAGGAGGAGUUACAGUGGUCCCCCUAGAGAAUUUGAACACAGGUGUAUAUUUAACCUACAUGGUCCCCCAGGGGGUGCAGUUAGGAGAUUUAAAUUUAAAGAAUCGUAGGCAUUAUUUUGACUUACUAGUGACUUUUAGCUAAAAAAGUGUCCCAAGUAUUUCUGGACAAAUGAAUGUGUCGGAUUUAGCAGUGGUUGUGGUCACCACUCAGGCCACACUAUAUGUGAGCGCUGACAAUUCCUAUUUAGGAAAGGUUGACUUACAGAAAUUUGUGCUAUAAACUCCUGAUGAGAAUUCUGACUUGGUGAUAGACCUGGAAUUAUGUUACCGAUAUUGCUCCAUUAUUGCUCCAUUGUAUACGAGGGUGAUUUUAUUAAGUGGCGCUGAUCUUCAAUGAAGUUUAAAGCAUGGUAGAUCAUGUUUACGUUAAAAGAUUUGAAAGGCACAGAGUAAAGUUUUACUCUGUAGUUUCCCUUAGUGUUAUGGUUUUAAACAGAUGUAACUUAAAAUGCCAAUCAUUUUUUUUCCUUUGAAAUCAUGACAGUGAAGGAGUGUGUAGAAUCCAUAUUGUACAUGGUGUCCCUGGGUUAUCAGUUUUGUCGGCUUAUGGGUCCAGGUUUGCUAACUUUUUGGCUGGUCAGGAAUACUCUCUAUACUGUGUAUUCUUUUUUUUUGUUUUUUUUUUUUUGUUGUUUUGUUUUUGUUUUUUGGUCUUUUUAGGACCACAUCCAAGGUAUUUGGAAGUUCCCAGGCUAGAUAUCAAAUCAGAGCUACAGGUGCCAGCCUACACCACAGCCACAGCAAUGGGGGAUCUGAGCCAUGCCUGCCACCUGCACCACAGCUCACAGCAAUGCCAGAUCCUUAACCCACUGAGCGACACCAGGGAUCGAACCCUUCAUCCUUAGUUGAGGAUGAAGACUUGCUUGGUGUGUAUACCAUUCCUUUGUGCCCUGCUUAGACUACCCAUCCCCAUGGGCACUUAGGAACACUGCAGGGCCCCAUGCCCAUGGAAAUGAAAUAUGAGUAUUUGAAGGAUCCUUGCUUUCUUCCAGCAGCCUCCAUAAUCUUUCCCCAGCCUGCUUUUAAAGAUGUGGCCUCCUGGUCAUUCACUCUCUCACUCAUUCAUUUAAGCAUUCAUCAAACAUUUGAAAAUCCUAUAUGCCAAGCACAUGCAUCUUGGGAACCUAAUAGUGUUGAAUGAAAUAGGCAAGGUCCCUGCUUUAAUGGAUUUUAUAUUCAAGUUUGGGUAAGACACAUUUUAAAGGCAGUGCUGAAUGUGUCUUAGUGGAAAUACACAAGGUGGAGUGAUGGUGGUGCCGGCGGGAGCUACUUUGAGUGGGGUGGUCAGGCCUUGCUGAGGCAUCAACAUUCGAUGAGACAUGGGGGUAACAAAGCGCCAUCCAUGUGAAGAUCUGGGGGAAGAAGAGACCAGCCAGAGAAACAAGUUAGGCUCCUAGCCCUACUCUGUCCAGUAUGAUAGCUGCUAGGAGUAUGUGGUUAUUUAGGUUGAUCAAGAUUGAGAGCUCCCUGGUGGUCUGGUGGCUAGGAUUCAGCAUCUUCACUGCUGCAGCCCAGGUUCAAUUGCUGGUCUGAGAACUGAGAUCCCACAUCAAGCCACUGCACUCCACGCCCCUCCAAAAAAAUUAAUCAAAAUCAAAUAAAGUUAGGAGUUCCUGUCGUGGCUCAGUGGAAACAAAUCUGACUAGGAUCCGUGAGGACCCAGGCCUCGCUCAGGGGGUUAAGGAUCUGGUGUUGCCAUGAGCUGUGGUGUAGGUCACAGAUGCGGCUUGGAUCCCCCAUUGCUGUGGCUGUGGUGUAGGCCAAAAGCUAUAGCUCCAAUUCGACCCCUAGCCUGGGAACCUCCAUUUGCCGUGGGUGUGGCCCUAAAAAGACCAAAAAAAAAAAAAAAAAAA
rnacentral:lncRNA from 1 species